GUGAUCUAGCCAUGGGCAGGUUGAAGGUUGGGUAACACUAACUGGAGGACCGAACCGACUAAUGUUGAAAAAUUAGCGGAUGACCUGUGGCUGGGGGUGAAAGGCCAAUCAAACCGGGAGAUAGCUGGUUCUCCCCGAAAGCUAUUUAGGUAGCGCCUCGUGAAUUCAUCUCCGGGGGUAGAGCACUGUUUCGGCUAGGGGGCCAUCCCGGCUUACCAACCCGAUGCAAACUGCGAAUACCGGAGAAUGUUAUCACGGGAGACACACGGCGGGUGCUAACGUCCGUCGUGAAGAGGGAAACAACCCAGACCGCCAGCUAAGGUCCCAAAGUCAUGGUUAAGUGGGAAACGAUGUGGGAAGGCCCAGACAGCCAGGAUGUUGGCUUAGAAGCAGCCAUCAUUUAAAGAAAGCGUAAUAGCUCACUGGUCGAGUCGGCCUGCGCGGAAGAUGUAACGGGGCUAAACCAUGCACCGAAGCUGCGGCAGCGACACUGUGUGUUGUUGGGUAGGGGAGCGUUCUGUAAGCCUGUGAAGGUGU
rnacentral:rRNA from 1 species